rnacentral:rRNA from 1 species
AUAUUGGACAAUGGGGGCCAACCCUGUUCAGCCCAUGCGCCUUGGGUGAGGAAGGCUUCGGGUUGUUAAAGACCUUAAGUUGGGUGGGAAGGGCUUUGGGUUAAUACCCUGAGUUUUUGACGUUACCAACAGAAUAGGCACCGGCUACUCUGUUCCCGGCAGCCGCGGUAAUACAGAGGGUGCAAGCGUUAAUCGGAAUUACUGGGCGUAAAGCGCGCGUAGGUGGUUCAGUAAGAUGGGUGUGAAAUCCCCGGGCUUAACCUGGGAACUGCUUUCAUAACUGCUGAGCUAGAGUACGGUAGAGGGUAGUGGAAUUUCCUGUGUAGCGGUGAAAUGCGUAGAUAUAGGAAGGAACACCAGUGGCGAAGGCGACUACCUGGACUGAUACUGACACUGAGGUGCGAAAGCGUGGGGAGCAAAC